rnacentral:rRNA from 1 species
GACAGAGGUGCCGAGCGUUAGGCGGAAUCACUGGGCUUAAAGCGUGUGUAGGCGGGUCGUUAAGUGCCUUGUGAAAUCCCAUGGCUCACCCAUGGAACUGCUUGGCAUACUGGCGAUCUUGAGCCACUUAGGGGCAACCGGAACAAACGGUGGAGCGGUGAAAUGCGUAGAUAUUGGGAAGAACACCAGAGGCGAAGGCGGGUUGCUGGGCCGACACUGACGCUGAGGCGCGAAAGCCAAGGGAGCAAACGGG